rnacentral:rRNA from 1 species
CCUACGGGAGGCAGCAGUGGGGAAUAUUGCACAAUGGGGGAAACCCUGAUGCAGCAACGCCGCGUGAGUGAGGAAGUAUUUCGGUAUGUAAAGCUCUAUCAGCAGGGAAGAGAAAAGAAGGUACCUGAAAAAGAAGCACCGGCUAACUACGUGCCAGCAGCCGCGGUAAUACGUAGGGGGCAAGCGUGAUCCGGAUUUACUGGGUGUCAAGGGAGCGUAGACGGAAAGGCAAGUCAGAAGGGAAAACCCAAGGCUCAACCCUGGGACUGCUUUUGAAACUGUCAAACUAGAGUACGGGAGAGGUAAGCGGCAUUCCUUGUGUAGCGGUGAAAUGCGUAGAUAUUAGGCGGAACCCCAGUGGCGAAGGCGUCUUACUGGACCGCACCUGACGUUGCGGCUCG